CGCGCAGGCGGUCGAUCAAGUCGGAUGUGAAAGCCCCCGGCUCAACUGGGGAGGGUCAUUCGAUACUGGUCGACUCGAAGGCAGGAGAGGGAAGCGGAAUUCCCGGUGUAGUGGUGAAAUGCGUAGAUAUCGGGAGGAACACCAGUGGCGAAGGCGGCUUCCUGGCCUGUUCUUGACGCUGAGGCGCGAAAGCUAGGGGAGCAAACGGGAUUAGAUACCCCGGUAGUCCUAGCUGUAAACGAUGGACACUAGGUGUUGGUGGUAUCAACCCCGCCAGUGCCGUAGCUAACGCAUUAAGUGUCCCGCCUGGGGAGUACGGCCGCAAGGCUAAA
rnacentral:rRNA from 1 species